UGGGGAAUAUUGGACAAUGGACCAAGAGUCUGAUCCAGCAAUUCUGUGUGCACGAUGAAGUUUUUCGGAAUGUAAAGUGCUUUCAGUUGGGAAGAAAAAAAUGACGGUACCAACAGAAGAAGUGACGGCUAAAUACGUGCCAGCAGCCGCGGUAAUACGUAUGUCACAAGCGUUAUCCGGAUUUAUUGGGCGUAAAGCGCGUCUAGGUGGUUAUAUAAGUCUGAUGUGAAAAUGCAGGGCUCAACUCUGUAUUGCGUUGGAAACUGUGUAACUAGAGUACUGGAGAGGUAAGCGGAACUACAAGUGUAGAGGUGAAAUUCGUAGAUAUUUGUAGGAAUGCCGAUGGGGAAGCCAGCUUACUGGACAGAUACUGACGCUGAAGCGCGAAAGCGUGGGUAGCAAACAGGAUUAGAUACCCUGGUAGUCCACGCCGUAAACGAUGAUUACUAGGUGUUGGGGGUCGAACCUCAGCGCCCAAGCAAACGCGAUAAGUAAUCCGCCUGGGGAGUACGUACGCAAGUAUG
rnacentral:rRNA from 1 species